ACACGAGUUAAAAUCUUCAAUUAAAAAUGGUUUAUUCAUCGUAUACGAUUACAAUCGAUGUUUUCGUUUGCAAAAAAAAAAUUCCCAAUUCUUUGCCGAUAACAUAAUUCAAUUUGUACAAAGCAAAUAAAUGAAAAAUUCACAAGUGUUAAUGAGAUUUUUCACAAUGAAUCUUAUCAGCCGCGUUUUUUUUGAAAUUUUGAAAUUUCCAAACUGUUCAAGGUUUCUAUGGCCGUUUGUUCAAUAUUAUUACUACUAUUGAUAAUCAUCGACAAUCAUCAAAAAAAUUUUUUCUUUGAUCACACAUUACAACAACAAAUAAUAAACAAAACUGGUUCCAUUCCUAUCAACCAUGAAAAUAUUAGUAUAUUAUACAUGCUUCGAUUGACAAACAAACUGGCAGACGGUGUCUAUCAUCAUCAAUGGACAGAAAUUGAAAUUCGACUCACCGAUGAGAGAAAAAAAAAAAAAAUUCUUCCCAUUCAUAUACAUUUUUUUUCUUGGUAAUUCGGCCCAUUCGAAAAUGAAUUCCAAAUUGGUCAACUGAAAAAUUUUCAAGAAUCAUUACCAUCAUCAUCAUUGUCCAUUGGUCCAAAAUAAAUCUGGACACAUUCAACUCAGUCAUCAUCAUCAUCAUCAUCAUUAUUAUGGAAAAUAAAAUGACAAUGAUGACGAAUGAAUUUUUUUUCCAUUC